rnacentral:tRNA from 2 species
GUACCCAUAGCCCAACUGGAUAGGGCCCUGACUUGCGAAGUCAGAUGAUGUGGUGGUUCGAAUCCACCUGGGUGCACCA